AAGCUAUGGGGAAGAAAGCAAGUGGAGUAGGAGAAGGAGGAGAUGGAUCCACUGGAAAAGAAGGUUACAAGCUUCUGGGCAAUCCGACUUUCAAAAAAUUGGAGAAUGGCCGCUUCAAAUGCGUUCAAACAGGGCAUGAGCUGCCGGAACACGCUAGGGACUCUUAUGCCCACAGCAAGCACUGCCGCUUGGGUCUAAUUGAUGCUGCACUUUCUAAGAAUAAACCUCCUCUCAAUAUGUUUAACCAAGAUCCUCUCAAUCGGUCAAAGUUGAUAUGUAAAUUAACAGGAGAUACAGUUAAUAAGUCAGAGGAGCAUAUAUGGAAACACAUGAGUGGAAAGCGCUUUCUCAGAAUGUUAGAGAAAAAGGAAACUGAAACUGAAAUGGAAAAUGGAGGGCUAGAAAAGCAAGUAGAAAAUGAAGCGGCUAAGAAGACGGACAGCAAAGCCAAUCGUCGGGACAAAAAGAAAAACAAAAAGAAAGAAAUAGAAGAUGCUAGCAAGGUUAUAUCUGAAAUAAGGGAUUCUUCUGGAAAGAACAGUGGCUCUGAAGAUGAUGAUGAGUUUUGGAUGCCUCCAGUUGGUGCUCGCUGGGACAAUGAUGAUGGAGGUGAUCGAUGGGGAUCUGGUUCGGAA
rnacentral:misc_RNA from 1 species